rnacentral:rRNA from 1 species
UGUGCCAGCAGCCGCGGUAAUACGAAGGGUGCAAGCGUUAUUCGGAAUUAUCUGGGCGUAAAGCGUGCGUAGGUGGUUCGUUAAGUCUGAUGUGAAAGNCCCUGGGCUCAACCUGGGAUUUGCAUUGGAUACUGGGCGGGCUAGAGUUCGGUAGAGGAUAUUGGAAUUCCUGGUGUAGCAGUGAAAUGCGUAGAGAUCAGGAGGAACAUCCGUGGCGAAGGCGAAUACCUGGACCAGUACUGACACUGAGGCACGAAAGCGUGGGGAGCAAACAGGAUUAGA